ACGGGUGAGUAACGCGUGGGUAACCUGCCCUGUACAGGGGGAUAACAGUCAGAAAUGACUGCUAAUACCGCAUAAGACCACAGCACCGCAUGGUGCAGGGGUAAAAACUCCGGUGGUGCAGGAUGGACCCGCGUCUGAUUAGCUGGUUGGUGAGGUAACGGCUCACCAAGGCGACGAUCAGUAGCCGGCUUGAGAGAGUGAACGGCCACGUUGGGACUGAGACACGGCCCAGACUCCUACGGGAGGCAGCAUG
rnacentral:rRNA from 1 species